AUUGAACGCUGGCGGCAGGCCUAACACAUGCAAGUCAAACGGUAACAGGAAGCAGCUUGCUGCUUUGCUGACGAGUGGCGGACGGGUGAGUAAUGUCUGGGAAACUGCCUGAUGGAGGGGGAUAACUACUGGAAACGGUAGCUAAUACCGCAUAACGUCGCAAGACCAAAGAGGGGGACCUUAGGGCCUCUUGCCAUCGGAUGUGCCCAGAUGGGAUUAGCUAGUAGGUGGGGUAACGGCUCACCUAGGCGACGAUCCCUAGCUGGUCUGAGAGGAUGACCAGCCACACUGGAACUGAGACACGGUCCAGACUCCUACGGGAGGCAGCAGUGGGGAAUAUUGCACAAUGGGCGCAAGCCUGAUGCAGCCAUGCCGCGUGUAUGAAGAAGGCCUUCGGGUUGUAAAGUACUUUCAGCGGGGAGGAAGGGAGUAAAGUUAAUACCUUUGCUCAUUGACGUUACCCGCAGAAGAAGCACCGGCUAACUCCGUG
rnacentral:rRNA from 1 species